AUUGAACGCUGGCGGCAGGCCUAACACAUGCAAGUCGAACGAGUGGCGGACGGGUGAGUAAUGUCUGGGAAACUGCCCGAUGGAGGGGGAUAACUACUGGAAACGGUAGCUAAUACCGCAUACCAUCGGAUGUGCCCAUAUGGGAUUGGCUAGUUGGUGGGGUAACGGCCAACCUAGGCGACGAUCCCUAGCUGGUCUGAGAGGAUGACCAGCCACACUGGAACUGGGACACGGUCCAGACUCCUACGGGAGGAAGCAGUGGGGAAUAUUGCACAAUGGGCGCAAGCCGGAGACAGCCAUGCCGCGUGUAUGAGGAGGGCCUUCGGGUUGUAAAGUACUUUCAGCGAGGAGGCGUUACUCGCAGAAGAAGCAUCGGCUAACUCCGUGCCAGCAGCCGCGGUAAUUC
rnacentral:rRNA from 1 species